rnacentral:rRNA from 1 species
UACGUAGGGACCAAGCGUUGUUCGGAUUUACUGGGCGUAAAGGGCGCGUAGGCGGCAAUUCAAGUCAGUUGUGAAAUCUCCGAGCUUAACUCGGAACGGUCAACUGAUACUGCUUUGCUAGAGUACAGAAGGGGCAAUCGGAAUUCUUGGUGUAGCGGUGAAAUGCGUAGAUAUCAAGAGGAACACCUGAGGUGAAGGCGGGUUGCUGGGCUGAUACUGACGCUGAGGCGCGAAAGCUAGGGUAGCAAACGGG